AGAAUGUAAGCUUCACAAGUGUGGAGAUCUUUGUCUCUUUUGUUCAAUGAUGCCGCUCAAGCACCCACAGCAGUGCCUGCCACAUGAAUACAAAUUGCCUGAGAAUAAGAUUGGCCCAGCUCAUCUGUGUACAGUGGACUUGUUGUAUUUAUGUCAAGUGCCUUUAUCCUUGUCUAAUCCAUCAUCCAUCGAUGGCUUCCCAGUGCUGGGGCUGUGGGCACCGUGCAAAGCACAGCGGAGCACACACUUAAU